CCUACGGGAGGCAGCAGUGAGGAAUAUUGGUCAAUGGGCGGAAGCCUGAACCAGCCAAGUCGCGUGAGGGAAUAAGGCCCUACAGGUCGUAAACCUCUUUUGCCGGGGAGCAAGGGCGGGGACGUGUCCCGGCCCGGAGAGUACCCGGGGAAAAAGAAUCGGCUAACUCCGUGCCAGCAGCCGCGUUAAUACGGAGGAUGCGAGGUUUAUCCGGAUUUAUGGGGUUUAAAGGGUGGGUAGGCGGGCUUUUAAGUCAGCGGUAAAAAUUCGGGGCUCAACCCCGUCCGGCCGUUGAAACUGGGAGCCUUGAGUGGACGAGAAGAAGGCGGAAUGCGUGGUGUAGCGGUGAAAUGCAUAGAUAUCACGCAGAACCCCGAUUGCGAAGGCAGCCUUCCGACGCCCUACUGACGCUGAGGCACGAAAGUGCGGGGAUCGAACAGGAUUAGAUACCCUUGUAGUC
rnacentral:rRNA from 1 species